CUAAAGGAACACAGCUUAUGAAAGGAGCAUGUUUUAAUUAAGUUGUUAUUUUUUAAUACAUUUUUUUACUGCACGUGUAUGUAAAAAG